CCUACGGGAGGCAGCAGUGGGGAAUAUUGCGCAAUGGGGGAAACCCUGACGCAGCAACGCCGCGUGAGUGAUGAAGGUCUUCGGAUUGUAAAACUCUGUCUUUGGGGACGAUAAUGACGGUACCCAAGGAGGAAGCCACGGCUAACUACGUGCCAGCAGCCGCGGUAAUACGUAGGUGGCAAGCGUUGUCCGGAUUUACUGGGCGUAAAGAGUAUGUAGGCGGACAUUUAAGUCAGAUGUGAAAUCCCCGGGCUUAACCUGGGAGCUGCAUUUGAUACUGGGUGUCUAGAGUGUAGGAGAGGAAAGUGGAAUUCCUAGUGUAGCGGUGAAAUGCGUAGAGAUUAGGAAGAACACCAGUGGCGAAGGCGACUUUCUGGACUAUAACUGACGCUGAGAUACGAAAGCGUGGGGAGCAAACAGGAUUAGAUACCCUUGUAGUC
rnacentral:rRNA from 1 species